rnacentral:rRNA from 1 species
CCCUUAGAUGCUCUGGGCCGCACGCGCGCUACACUGGUCGAUGCAACGAGUUUCUUUCCUUGGCCGACAGGCCUGGGCAAUCUUUGAACAUCGAUCGUGAUCGGGAUAGAUUCUUGUAAUUUUUGAUCUUAAACGAGGAAUUCCUAGUAAACGCAAGUCAUCAGCUUGCAUUGAUUACGUCCCUGCCCUUUGUACACACCGCCCGUCGCACCUACCGAUUGAAUGGUCCGGUGAAAUCUCCGGACUGGCGUGAGUCGGAGCAAUCUGACAAACACCGGAAAGUUGAUUACACCUUACCAUUUAGAGGAAGGUGAAGUCGUAACA